GGUCAAGCGAGAAAGGGCACACGGAGGAUGCCUAGGCGUAAGCGGGCGAAGAAGGACGCAGCGAGCGGCGAAACGCCCCGGGGAGCUGCAAGCAAGCAUCGAUCCGGGGGUAUCCGAAUGGGGGAACCCACCUCAGGCGAACCUGAGGAAUCCCAUAUUGAAUCCAUAGAUAUGGGAAGCGAGACCGGGGGAACUGAAACAUCUAAGUACCCCGAGGAAAAGAAAGAAACAUCGAUUCCCCAAGUAGCGGCGAGCGAACAGGGAAGAGCCCAAACCCUAUAUGUGAAAGGCCGUCACCGUUGCAUAUAGGGGGUUGAGGAGUGUCGAGCCUGAAGGCGGUAAGGCGAGGCGAGGCGAAAGGUAGCAGAAGCGGCUGGAAAGCCGGGUCACAGAGGGUGAAAGCCCCGUAUGCGAAACCCGGAAGCCCGCCUGACACAUCCAGAGUACCACGGGCCACGCCAAUCCCGUGGGAAGCAGGGAGGACCAUCUCCCAAGGCUAAAUACCGACUUACGACCGAUAGAGGACAAGUACCGUGAGGGAAAGGUGAAAAGCACCCCGGGAGGGGAGUGAAAGAGGACCUGAAACCGUGUGUCUACAAACGGAGGGAGCGCAAGCGACCUCGUACUUUUUGUAGAACGGACCGGCGAGUUACAGUAUCAAGCGAGGUUAAGGAGAAAAACUCCGGAGCCGAAGCGAAAGCGAGUCUGAACAGGGUGAAAAGUUUGAUACAGUAGACCCGAAACCGUGUGAUCUACCCAUGGCCAGGGUGAAGCGGGACUAACCUUCCGUGGAGGCCCGAACCGUGUUGACGUUGAAAAGUCAUGGGAUGAGCUGUGGGUAGGGGUGAAAUGCCAAUCGAACACGGAGAUAGCUGGUUCUCCCCGAAAUAGCUUUAGGGCUAGCCGAAGCAGGACCUUACCGGAGGUAGAGCACUGAAUGGGCUAGGGGCCGAAAAGGUUACCGAACCCUAUCAAACUCCGAAUGCCGGUAAGAAAUAACUUUGAGUCAGACUAUGGGGGAUAAGCUUCAUAGUCGAGAGGGAAACAGCCCAGACCGUCAGCUAAGGUCCCGAAGUAAACCUAAGUGGGAAAGGAUGUUGUACUACGAAGACAACCAGGAUGUUGGCUUAGAAGCAGCCAUACAUUCAAAGAGUGCGUAAUAGCUCACUGGUCGAGCGGUACUGCGCCGAAAAUGUAACGGGGCUAAAGGUUUACACCGAAGCUACGGACAGAAGCAAAAUCACUUAUGUGUUCAAGCAAAACAAAAACAGCCUUGCGAAAAGCUACGAAUAAAAAAAAUAAAUAAAAAGCUUUUCGCCAAAUAUUUUCAAGCUAAAGAUUCAAAAAAGCUUGAGCAUGUCAGUGAUUUUGCUUCUGUGGUAGGGGAGCGUUCCUAUUGGGCAGAAGUCAUACCGUAAGGCAUGGUGGACCGAUAGGAAGAGAGAAUGCCGGUAUAAGUAGCGAGAGGCAGGUGAGAAUCCUGCCCGCCGAAAGCCUAAGGAUUCCUGAGGAAGGUUCGUCCGCUCAGGGUAAGCCGGGGCCUAAGCCGAGGCAUGAAAUGCGUAGGCGAUGGACAACUGGUGGAAAUUCCAGUGCCACCUGCGACCGCACGAGCGAAGGGGUGACGCAGGAGGGUAAGCUGAGCGCACGGUUGGUAGAGUGCGUCCAAACUCAAAGGCGAGCCAGGGAGGCAAAACCCCCUGGCGAUGCUGAAGAGUGAUGGGGAGUGAAAACAAGUAACGAAGCAGCCGAACCCAAACUGCCAAGAAAAGCCUCUAGCGAGGUCAAAGGUGCCCGUACUGCAAACCGACACAGGUAGGUGAGGAGAGAAUCCUAAGGCGAACGGGAGAACCCUCGUUAAGGAACUCGGCAAACUGACCCCGUAACUUAGGGAGAAGGGGUGCCUGAGUAGCCGACGAAUAAAAUCGUCGGUGAAAAGGUCGCAGCGAAGAGGCCCAAGCGACUGUUUAGCAAAAACACAGGUCUCUGCUAAGGAGGAAUCCGACGUAUAGGGGCUGACGCCUGCCCGGUGCUGGAAGGUUAAGGGGAAGAGUUAUUCGAAAGGAGAAGCUCAGAACCGAAGCCCCAGUGAACGGCGGCCGUAACUAUAACGGUCCUAAGGUAGCGAAAUUCCUUGUCGGGUAAGUUCCG
rnacentral:rRNA from 1 species